AUUUCCCAAAUUAUCAUUUAUUUUAUAAAGCAGUUAAACUGUUUUGUGGGAAAUAACAAGAGCUCAACAUGAUUAGUUGUUCUCUCUCUUCUUUGUUGUUCAGCUGAGUCAGCAGAGGCCCAGUGAGACCGAGUCAUCUUCCCAGAGACCUACGGUGGUCCAGCCAGUGGCCAGGCAGAGUCCUGGCUUCUGGACCCCACAUCCAAGCCUCCCUGAGAGUGUGGGUCUCCGCUCCCCAAACAGGCAGAUGCUGUGGAGCCUCUUGUUCAUGGUGGGCCCGGGCCCUGGGCGUGCUGAGCACCCGAGACUCCGUGGUCUUUCUCUUCACAGUCAUCCGCUAGUUCUUUCAGUAUAAAUGCAAAGCUACAUGAUUUCUAUGACAAGAAAUGAGAGGGUGAACACUUCCCGUAACAUUCUAUUUCACAUAUAUUUGAUAUGUAGAAAUAGAGAGUGGAAAUUGCUCUGAACUAGGUUCAAGCCUGAAAAUUGGUCAUUUUUGACAGUUGAGUUAACUUCAGCUCACCAUUUUGGUUAAUAAAUCCUCUUCAACUCUUGACAGACAGAAGAAAGCCACCGCUGCACCGCAUAACAACCUCUGGUAAUUGGGUUUCCUACCUGGGAAAAUUAGCUUUAACCGGUGCCUCUGAAAACAUUGCAAGAUGCCCCGGGGAAGACCAGGCUAGGGUUCAAGUCACCCGCUUCACUUCCGUCUCUGCCAGUGAUUGCCGGAGGCUGGCGGCUGGGGUCUCGGCCGUUUCAUCAUCACUCCAACCCCUGACCCUGAUGCUGGUUCAGUGCAUUCCUGGAAUUCACUUAAAUGCUCUUACAACCCACUCGCCUGCCUCUCUCCUGUUUUGAAUUCCUUUUCAAUAAAGAAAAGGCGUAAAGAGACGCCUCUAAUGGCUCUAAUUUGUUAAUAAUGGGUUUUGUUUAAAACAGAAAUUGGUCCUGCAAAGGGGGUGACCUCCUUUCUUCUCCUCCCAGGGCUCCUAGUUGCUCUGGCGGCUCCAUUUGUUACAGGGCUCACUUCACCGGGAAAGGUAAUUACAGCUGAAAUUAAACUCUAUGGACUGUGUCCCACCGCCUUCUCCUGCACGCGCACGG
rnacentral:lncRNA from 1 species